CAGCCGCCGCGGUAAUACCGGCGGCCCGAGUGGCGGCCACUAUUAUUGGGCUUAAAGCGUCCGUAGCCGGGUUGGUUAGUCUCCCGGGAAAUCUGGCCGCUUAACGGUCAGAAUUCCGGGAGAUACUGCCAGCCUAGGGACCGGGAGAGGCCGAGGGGAUUCCCGGAGUAGGGGUGAAAUCCUAUAAUCCCGGGAGGACCACCUGUGGCGAAGGCGCUCGGCUGGAACGGGUCCGACGGUGAGGGACGAAGGCCAGGGGAGCAAACCGGAUUAGAUACCCGGGUAGUCCUGGCUGUAAACGAUGCGGACUUUGUGUCGGACAAGCUAUGAGCUUGUCCGGUGCCGGAGGGAAACCGUUAAGUCCGCCGCCUGGGGAGUACGGCCGCAAGGUUGAAACUUAAAGGAAUUGGCGGG
rnacentral:rRNA from 1 species